rnacentral:rRNA from 1 species
UACGGAGGGGGCUAGCGUUGUUCGGAAUUACUGGGCGUAAAGCGCACGUAGGCGGCGAUUUAAGUUAGAGGUGAAAGCCCGGGGCUCAACUCCGGAAUUGCCUUUAAGACUGCAUCGCUCGAAUUGUGGAGAGGUAAGUGGAAUUCCGAGUGUAGAGGUGAAAUUCGUAGAUAUUCGGAAGAACACCAGUGGCGAAGGCGACUUACUGGACACAUAUUGACGCUGAGGUGCGAAAGCGUGGGGAGCAAACAGG